UCACAUGUACUAGUUCUUAUAUUGUUAAUGGGCAAGAUUGGGUAGAAGGCAUCUAACAGACUUCCGGGAUAUCUCGAUUAAGCGCGGGUGGCGCUCCCGAGGUCGGGGCGUGACAUUAAUCAUGAAACAAAACACAUACUUAUCAGAUGGACCUCAACUUUUUGAUUACUCAAAAUCUUUUCCGUUGAGAUCCUCAAUUUGAUUCCGAUGGAGUUAUCCCUAUCCUUCGAUUCCCGCCUCUUUUGAGUUUACCUGCUGCUUUCCUACGCCUAUAAAAGGGUAGAUUACGAUGCAUAAAUAUGUAUCCAAACUUGUUAAGAUACAUAUUCAGCCCUCUUUGCAUGGUAGCAGUUGACAGCUGGUUCAAGACCUUAGGCAUCUACUGAUGUUAAGUUAUCUACUUCACAAUUCUCGCGAGACUUGCCACCUUUAAUAGCAGUGUCGGAGGCGUAACAUCAUUCGUCGCAGCAACGCCUUGCUUCAUUCUGGUGAGGAUAAAUUUCUUUUCCAAGUGCUAGGACCAGGUACGACCUCAAAUUCUUGAAACAGGACUAUGCUGCAGGUGCUACAUCAUAUAUAAAAGUAGCUGCCAUGUUUUAGGCAAAUUUCAAAACUUAACUUCGAAUUCAGUUACUGAUCCUUCAACUUUGCGCGUCUUCACAAGAAAAAACAUAUCUUUUUGCACAUAUAUUGAAAUUGCAAUCCGUCUUUGGUGUCAUGAAGUAGACUUUCCGAGACUACAAUCUACACCAGAAUCAGGUUCAAAUUCCCCGUGAAUUUACACAGGUAAUCUUCUGAACUCAGCUCUGGAUUUUGGGUGCUCUAUUUUUUACAGCUUUGCGCGCGCUGACUAAAAAAAUCAUAUCUUUCUGCAAGACACAUCCAAACCAUAAUCCUCUUACACCGUUGGAAAGAAACUUCUGGGACUAUAUAUAUACAAAAUUCAGAUCCAGAUUCUAAGUAUAUUUGUACAGAUACUUGUUUGAACUCAGUACUAGAUUUCUGGCGUUCUGUUUUUUACAGCUCUGCACGCCCCGACUAAAAAAAUCAUAUUUCUUUGCAGACACGUUGAAACCACAAUCCGCUUACACCGUUGGAAAGGGAACUUCUGGGACUACAAUAUAUACAAAAAUCAGAUCCAGAUUCUAAGUAUAUUUACACGUUGAAACCUCAAUCCGCUUGCGCCGUUGGAAAGAGGACUUCUGGAACUAUAAUAUCCAUAAAAAUCAGUUCUGGAGAGUUACAACUUGAUUUUGAUAUCAAACUGUAGACAAUAAAUUGCGUCAAGAAAAUAAUCGAGACCGAAAACAUAUUGCAACAAUCGUAGUAUUUUAUUUCAA